UAUUCAAAUGGCCGGUGUCGUGGCCACUGUUUCGGUCUGUUUCGCCGUCCUGGCACAGGUGACACCGAAGCUGCCGGGCAUCUGCAACUCGAGCUCACCUGCCGACCGUUGCGUCGCGUUGCUCCUGGACGACUUUAGGGUGAAAACGACCACAUGUAUUUCUGCAUUGAUUUUUAUUUACCCCCUGAAGGUGCCCAUCCGACCCCGCCGUGGGAGUUUACUGGACCCAACACCGUCUGUUCAUUGUCCGGCGGGAGACAGCCCAGGUGACCGCUGCUUCACCUGGCACAGGUCUGGACAGACUGAAUCUGCGGUCAGCUGCCGACUCCCUCUACUGUCUGGAUAACAACCUCCUCCUACAUCAUAGUGACCUGAUUGUGCAGAAAAGCAGUAAACUGGGAUCCAGCGCUGAUGCUAAGCUGCAGCCAGAGAGCAGCUGAGUACAUAAAAACCCUCCUGAAGAUCUCCAAAACAAUGACAUUCCCGUCGGUCGGACUUCAGAUCCAGACUUCAGAGCGAGUUCAAGGAGCUGACCAUGAAGUACAACGUCCCUGCUGCGUGUUCGACUGAGGGCUUCUGUUGUGCGUCAUUCCCCAUCUCUUUCUCCUCUCAUGUCCUGAUGUAAAUCACCACGAGUACAUUGUUACUGUAAUGAAGACUUGCAACAAAAAGAAAACGGGAGCGCUUGAUGUGGAAUCACGGUAACAUGCCCAGAACAAAUACAAUAUGGAGGGGAUUUUGGAUGUCCGCUCUCUCCUCGCACGGAGAGGAACUCCGCAAAUGGAAAACAUGAUGUCGGUUAAUGGAUGUCAUUUGCCAUUUUCAGACUGGAGAUGACUGCGGUUGUC